AUUGAACGCUGGCGGCAUGCCUUACACAUGCAAGUCGAACGGCAGCACGGGUGCUUGCACCUGGUGGCGAGUGGCGGACGGGUGAGUAAUACAUCGGAACAUGUCCUGUAGAGGGGGAUAGCUCGGCGAAAGCCGAAUUAAUACCGCAUACGAUCUUAGGAAGAAAGCGGGGGCUCUUCGGACCUCGCGCUAUAGGGUUGGCCGAUGGCAGAUUAGCUAGUUGGUGGGGUAAAGGCCUACCAAGGCGACGAUCUGUAGCUGGUCUGAGAGGAUGGCCAGCCACACUGGGACUGAGACACGGCCCAGACUCCUACGGGAGGCAGCAGUGGGGAAUUUUGGACAAUGGGGGCAACCCUGAUCCAGCAAUGCCGCGUGUGUGAAGAAGGCCUUCGGGUUGUAAAGCACUUUUGUCUAGGAAGAAAUCGACUGUGUUAAUAGCAUGGUUGGAUGACGGUACUGGAAGAAUAAGCACCGGCUAACUACGUGCCAGCCGCCGCAGUAA
rnacentral:rRNA from 1 species